ACGGGAGGCAGCAGUGGGGAAUAUUGCACAAUGGGCGCAAGCCUGAUGCAGCGAUGCCGCGUGAGGGAAGAAGGUUUUCGGAUUGUAAACCUCUGUCAACAGGGACGAAAAUGACGGUACCUGUGAAGGAAGCUCCGGCUAACUACGUGCCAGCAGCCGCGGUAAUACGUAGGGAGCAAGCGUUAUCCGGAAUUACUGGGUGUAAAGGGUGUGUAGGCGGGGAAGCAAGUCAGGUGUGAAAAUUGUGGGCUCAACCCACAAACUGCACUUGAAACUGUUUUUCUUGAGAGUGGGAGAGGUAAACGGAAUUCCUGGUGUAGUAGUGAAAUGCGUAGAUAUCAGGAGGAACACCGGUGGCGAAGGCGGUUUACUGGACCACAACUGACGCUGAGACACGAAAGCGUGGGGAGCAAACAGGAUUAGAUACCCUGGUA
rnacentral:rRNA from 1 species